GAUCCUGGCUCAGGACGAACGCUGGCGGCGUGCCUAAUACAUGCAAGUAGAACGCUGAAGAGAGGAGCUUGCUCUUCUUGGAUGAGUUGCGAACGGGUGAGUAACGCGUAGGUAACCUGCCUUGUAGCGGGGGAUAACUAUUGGAAACGAUAGCUAAUACCGCAUAACAAUGGGUGACUCAUGUCAUUUAUUUGAAAGGGGCAAAUGCUACACUACAAGAUGGACCUGCGUUGUAUUAG
rnacentral:rRNA from 1 species